rnacentral:rRNA from 1 species
CGGGGGAGCAAGCGUUGUUCGGAUUUACUGGGCGUAAAGGGCGCGUAGGCGGCGCAACAAGUCACUUGUGAAAUCUCCGGGCUUAACCCGGAGCGGCCAAGUGAUACUGUCGUGCUAGAGUGCGGUAGGGGCUACUGGAAUUCUCGGUGUAGCGGUGAAAUGCGUAGAUAUCGAGAGGAACACCUGCGGCGAAGGCGGGUAGCUGGGCCGACACUGACGCUGAGGCGCGAAAGCCAGGGGAGCGAACGGGAUUAGAUACCCCGGUAGUCCUGGCCUUAAACGAUGGAUGCUUGGUGUCCGGGGUUACAUAGUCCCCGGGUGCCGGCGCUAACGCAUUAAGCAUCCCGCCUGGGGAGUACGGUCGCAAGACUG